UACGGAGGGUGCAAGCGUUAAUCGGAAUACUGGCGUAAAGGCGCACGCAAGCGGUUGGACAAGUCUGGCGUGAAAUCUCCUGGCUUAACUAGGAGCGGUCGCUGGAAACUGUUCGGCUUGAGGCGAUGAGAGGGGUGCAGAAUUCCCGGUGUAGUGGUGGAAUGCGUAGAGAUCGGGAGGAAUACCAGUGGCGAAAGCGGCUUCCUGGUCCAGCAUCGACGUCAGGCACGAAAGCGUGGGGAGCAAACAGG
rnacentral:rRNA from 1 species